rnacentral:rRNA from 1 species
AGAGCGAACGCUGGCGGCAGGCCUAACACAUGCAAGUCGAGCGCGUGUAGCAAUACACGAGCGGCAGACGGGAGAGUAACACGUGGGAACGCGCCCUUCGGUUCGGAAUAACUCAGGGAAACUUGAGCUAAUACCGGAUAAGCCCUUACGGGGAAAGAUUUAUCGCCGAAAGAUUGGCCCGCGUCUGAUUAGCUAGUUGGUGAGGUAACGGCUCACCAAGGCGACGACGGGUAGCC